AGACCCGAAACCCGGUGAUCUAGCCAUGGGCAGGUUGAAGGUUGGGUAACACUAACUGGAGGACCGAACCGACUAAUGUUGAAAAAUUAGCGGAUGACCUGUGGCUGGGGGUGAAAGGCCAAUCAAACCGGGAGAUAGCUGGUUCUCCCCGAAAGCUAUUUAGGUAGCGCCUCGUGAAUUCAUCUCCGGGGGUAGAGCACUGUUUCGGCUAGGGGGCCAUCCCGGCUUACCAACCCGAUGCAAACUGCGAAUACCGGAGAAUGUUAUCACGGGAGACACACGGCGGGUGCUAACGUCCGUCGUGAAGAGGGAAACAACCCAGACCGCCAGCUAAGGUCCCAAAGUCAUGGUUAAGUGGGAAACGAUGUGGGAAGGCCCAGACAGCCAGGAUGUUGGCUUAGAAGCAGCCAUCAUUUAAAGAAAGCGUAAUAGCUCACUGGUCGAGUCGGCCUGCGCGGAAGAUGUAACGGGGCUAAACCAUGCACCGAAGCUGCGGCAGCGAACGUAUCACCCAAGACAACUUUACGGAGUUGACGAUUGACGGAGCGAAGCGACGUCAAAGCGUUCAUUAAAGUCGAGUUGGCUUAGGGAUACGUUCGUUGGGUAGGGGAGCGUUCUGUAAGCCUGUGAAGGUGUGUCGUGAGGCAUGCUGGAGGUAUCAGAAGUGCGAAUGCUGACAUAAGUAACGAUAAAGCGGGUGAAAAGCCCGCUCGCCGGAAGACCAAGGGUUCCUGUCCAACGUUAAUCGGGGCAGGGUGAGUCGACCCCUAAGGCGAGGCCGAAAGGCGUAGUCGAUGGGAAACGGGUUAAUAUUCCCGUACUUGGUGUUACUGCGAAGGGGGGACGGAGAAGGCUAUGUUGGCCGGGCGACGGUUGUCCCGGUUUAAGCGUGUAGGUGUGUGUUCCAGGUAA
rnacentral:rRNA from 1 species